UGCCUUUAUUUUUUAGAAAAAAUGUUUUUUAAAAACAUGUUUUAAAAAUAGUGAUUUUAAAGGGCCACCGAUAUAACAUGUCUCAUUGAUCCAUAAAUCAUGAUUUAAAAAUCAUAAAACUUGAUUUUAGUGCCUCCGUUCCCCCUACCUAACAUAGCCACUUCAUUUCAUCUUGUCCCUCAGCAGCUGGAAGAGUUUUCCCUCUCUUACCAGGUCCUGCUUUUCCUAGCACCCCUGCUAGCUCGGUAGACUAGGCUUACCCUGUGACGAGAAAAUGACAGCUAUUUUACAUGCAAUCUCAUACAGUUUUCUACUUCAAAAUUUCUAUCCCUUCGUCUUGUUCUUUUCUCUCACUCAUGGGGGAGGGCACUUGUGGCAGGGGAGUAAUAUUUCUCUGUGUUUUCUUGAUCCAGUGAUUCCUGCCUCCUUGAUAAUCCCGUUCAGUUAAUUAUCCCUUUUUAGACAAUAUUGUGUAGCACUCAUUUUCUCAUCUGACUUCUUCAGAAAUGCCUUUCCUCUGUUCAAAACAAAACAAAAUAAACGCCACUUGUUAACAAAGACAUUCCCUCAUCUGUCAUCCUAGGCAUUCAUUCUAUCUGUUUUAUAAUCUAUCAUCUAUCCGAGAAAUUAACUUUUAGCAUAUUCACUUUGCUUUCUUACCAACUCCUCAUAUACCUAAUUUAUUUCCAUCAUAGAUCUCCUGCAAAUUGCCAAACUAAAUAUUAUUCUACGUUUUUCAGUUUUCAGGUUUUUCCUAACCUCAGGAAUAAUUUCUAUUUCCUUCUCCACCCGCUCUGCAGAAAAUCUCCUCUGCCCAUAUCUCCACAGCAGACCCAGCAUUAUCCAAUGUCUCCUCUCCCCUCUCACCCCUCAUCUUCCUCAUCACCUUCAUGGACACACCAAGUUCUCUUCUUCCUUAAAUUUAGCCAUUGACUUGGCAUCUCCAGUUUUAUAUCUUCUCAUUCACUAACAAAGAAAUCUGUUUUUGUCAUUGAUUUGUGGGCUUGUACUUAGGUCUUCCUCUCUAGCUUUUACAGCUUUUCUAAUCAGUGUUUCAUUUUCUGCUCCUUGCUUAACAUUUUUAAUCAUAUACUCUGCAGUUGCCUUAACUCAUCAUAUCUGCCAAUAAAGUCAUUACAUAUUUUGCAUAACCAACUCCUACUCACUUCCCUAAUUCUAAUGCUAGUGCUUUCUUUAACUCGUUCUUCCUGUUCUCCUGUUCCUAUGUAUAUGUUAAACCAUAUCUAAUCUAUAAUACCUCAUGUGUCAAAUCCAUUCUUCCUCUCCAUUUCCAAAAUCACCUCUCAGAUUCAAGGGCUGACUGUUUCUCACUCAGACUUCUGUGCAGAUGAGACAUUGCUAUAUUUAAGGGGACUUUUAUCCUGGGAGAGUAACAACUAUACUUGCAAUAACAAUCAUUUGUGCUUUUUCAACAGUCAUUUUGUUCACUGAGUCAUGAUAAUGCGAGGGAGUUGAAUUCUUUGAAAGGAAAACAAUAAAAGCCGUAGAUAAAGGGGUCUACUGCUGAAAUCUUUCUGGGGUUAUAAUAAAAUUUUUUCUUUUUAAAAAAUAUUUAGAAUAAACUUAUAAACCGUGACCUUUUGAAUGCUUCAAGUUUUUUUCUUUUCUCUUUUUCUUUUCUUUUAUCCACUAGCUUUAUUGAGAUAUAUUUGACACUCAACAUUGUGUAAGUUUAAGGUGCACAAUGUGAUGAUUUGAUAUACAUGAUUACCCCAAUAAAGUUAGUUAACAUAUCCAUCACCUCGCAGUUACCAUAUUUUUGUGUGUGGUAAGAGCAUUUAAGAUCCACUGUCUUAGAAAUUUUCAAGUAUACAAUACAGCAUUGUUAAUCGUAGUCACCAUGCUGUAUAGUAGGUUCCCAGAACUUCUUCAUCUUAUAACUGGAAAUUUGUACCGUUUGACCACCAUCACCUAUUUUCCCCACCCCUCAGCCCAUAGCAAGUACCAAUCUAUUCUCUGUUUCUACGAGCUUAGCUUUUUUUAGAUUCCACAUGUAAGUGAGAUCAGACAGUAUUUAUCUUUCUCUGUCUGACUUAUUUCACUUAACAUAAUGCCCUCAAGUUUCAUCCAUGUAUAAAAUGAUAAUAAAGUAAUACAUCCACAAAUACUCUAAUAAUGGACUUGGGAAGAAUUAUGAAAAUCACUGGAUCGGGAGACACCAAAUAUAUCAUUGAAGCCAAAAAUUAAGAGAAGCUUCACAAAGAAAACAGCUGGGGAAGCAUGGUAAAAGUGACUGAGAAACAUUAAUUUUGCUUUCUUUUGGUUUAUUUGUUUUUUUGGCUUGGUAAUAAGCAAGAAUAGAAAGAUUUUUCUUCUGAAAUAAGAUAUUUCUUCUCAGAUGAGAUAUUUCUUCUAAGAACA
rnacentral:lncRNA from 1 species